rnacentral:rRNA from 1 species
GAUGAACGCUAGCGGCAGGCCUAAUACAUGCAAGUCGAACGAGAUUAAGAGGCUUGCUUCUUAUGAAAGUGGCGCACGGGUGCGUAACGCGUAUGCAACCUACCUUAAUCAGGGGGAUAGCCCGAAGAAAUUCGGAUUAAGACCGCAUAAAAACACAGGAUAGCAUUAUCCAAUGUUCAAAUAUUUAUCGGAUUAAGAUGGGCAUGCGUGUCAUUAGCUAGUUGGCGGGGUAACGGCCCACCAAGGCGACGAUGACUAGGGGAUCUGAGAGGAUGACCCCCCACACUGGUACUGAGACACGGACCAGACUCCUACGGGAGGCAGCAGUAAGGAAUAUUGGUCAAUGGAGGGAACUCUGAACCAGCCAUGCCGCGUGCAGGAAGACAGCCCUCUGGGUCGUAAACUGCUUUUAUUCGGGAAUAAACCUUUCUACGUGUAGGAAGCUGAAUGUACCGAAGGAAUAAGGAUCGGCUAACUCCGUG